GAUGAGAGCGGCGUACGGGUGCGGAACAUGUGUGCAAUCUGCCCUUAUCAAGGGGAUAGCCCAGAGAAAUCUGGAUUAAUACCCUAUAACAUAUGGGAUGGCAUCAUUUCAUAUUAAAAGCUACGGCGGAUAAGGAUGAGCACGCACAAGAUUAGCUAGUUGGUAAGGUAACGGCUUACCAAGGCGACGAUCUUUAGGGGGCCUGAGAGGGUGAUCCCCCACACUGGGACUGAGACACGGCCCANACUCCUACGGGAGGCAGCAGUGAAGAAUAUUGGACGAUGUGUGGAAGCCUGAUCCAACCAUCCCGNGUGCAGGA
rnacentral:rRNA from 1 species